rnacentral:rRNA from 1 species
AUUGAACGCUGGCGGCAGGCCUAACACAUGCAAGUCGAACGGUAACAGGAAGAAGCUUGCUUCUUUGCUGACGAGUGGCGGACGGGUGAGUAAUGUCUGGGAAACUGCCUGAUGGAGGGGGAUAACUACUGGAAACGGUAGCUAAUACCGCAUAACGUCGCAAGACCAAAGAGGGGGACCUUCGGGCCUCUUGCCAUCGGAUGUGCCCAGAUGGGAUUAGCUAGUAGGUGGGGUAACGGCUCACCUAGGUGACGAUCCCUAGCUGGUCUGAGAGGAUGACCAGCCACACUGGAACUGAGACACGGUCCAGACUCCUACGGGGGGCAGCAGUGGGGAAUAUUGCACAAUGGGCGCAAGCCUGAUGCAGCCAUGCCGCGUGUAUGAAGAAGGCCUUCGGGUUGUAAAGUACUUUCAGCGGGGAGGAAGGGAGUAAAGUUAAUACCUUUGCUCAUUGACGUUACCCGCAGAAGAAGCACCGGCUAACUCCGUG